ensembl:lncRNA
GGACAAAGGGCGCACGGGUGGAUUUCAGCCUCAACUUUGACAGAGCCGUAACCCAAACCUGUCUUAUCCCACUCCAGUGGACUCGCGUCAGCUGAAAGGAUGAUGACACUUUUUCCACUUGCAAUCUGUCUAAUAAUCACCGACAGCAGGUAAAUGAGCUCUGGAGGGACAUCUGCGUGCUGGUAUAAAACAAGGAGUAGAGGAGGCCUAGGUUAGGAGACACUUUCGGACCUGUGCAGGGAUGAGAGCGCGGAACUUGAGGCCUGGCUGCGGCGGUGAGCCACACCCGCUGGAUGCUGUCCGAAUGCCGUGAGAGUCCAUUAUGGCCGACUGCAGAGGACCUGAGGUUAAGUGGUGCCAGAAGAGAGAGGAAAGAGGGAGGCCGACAUGCUGACAGCUGGUACGAGUGAUUAGACCGUGCAGUGAUGCAGGGAAGGCAUCAAAGCUCUUUAGGGAGAAUCCCUUAGUGGGAGGACACAAUGAUACACACACACACACACACACACACACACACACACACACACACACACACACACACACACACACACACACACACACACACACACACACACACACAGAGGAAUGAAAUCCUGAUACACAACUUCCUGGUUGCUAAAACUGCUUACAAACUCAGCUUACCACAUCCAACAGCAUAGGCUGCACUGACCAUCUGUCUUCUGCAGAUGCAUCACCAACCAAUGGAUUAUCAGCAGCUCUGCCCUAGGACACACACCCCUCUUUCACACACAUACUAACCCCCCUCUGAUUUCGAGAGUCUGGUAAUACAACAGAAUGAGUGGUAUCAUUAGAUUAGAUUGGGUGUGGAAGUUAUGGAAGGAUCUCCUCAUUAAUCACACGCGCUAAUGGCAGUUUAAUAGCUGUUGUCUCAACUGCUUCUUUCCGUUGUACAUCACUGUGCAGCUCCUCUGUUACAAUAAAAGUGUUUUAAUCUCAACAGGAUGGUAAGUGUUGAUUCAUUUGAGAUUAUCUCACAAUACAAACGACCAAAAAAUGCUUGAGGAAGUCAAAGAAAAGCUGGGAUUUGGAAGCAAAACUUGUUUUUCGGGUAAAUUUUAUUGUUACGUUAUCAGAGUAUUAGAUGCAGCAUUGUGAGCUUUAGUCUGCUGCCAUAAAGAAUCGUAUUAUAUAGUUAAAGAAGUAUAGAGGCCAUGCACUAUAAACACACACGCGUACAAAGAGGAAGACUGGAUUACAAUAAUCCAGGGACUGGGGGUAUUUUUAGGACUACAUGACCAGAGGCAGACACUUGAGGAAAACAGAUAAUCACUGUCAUAUGACCAGCUGGAUUUUCUGGAUAUACAGUUAAUUACGUAGUGUCUGCGAGGAACACAUGUAGAGCGAAUGAUGUCAGUACAAAAUUAUUUUGACUGCCUCCCUUAGUUAUGUUGCAAUAAGUCAGGGCUGCUGGGGGCUUUAUAUUAGCAAGCCAAAGUGCUCAUAUGGGGUCUAAUUGUUGGGGUUUCUAUGUUUCCCAUGUUUCCCAAGUACUAAGUAAAUUGUUACACUACUCACUACAGUACUUUCUCAUUACUCCAUAAAAUGACCUCAAAUGCAAUGUCUCAUAACUAUCACGUAACAAUAUAAAACUUUAGGCUACAGUCCCACACACUAAUACCAACAUGAAUCCCUAUCCUAAUGAAGACACAUGUACAAUCUUUCUUUUAGUAUUUACAUAUGAACGUGAAGGUGUGACAACAAAAGUAAAGAUUAAAAAAAUCUUUACUUUUGUUUGAACUUAUUGUGAUUGUUUCUGUCCUGGCAACAGUUUGCCCGUUACCAUCACACUUUUGUCCCUUUUCUGGAAUAAAAAUAAAAGUGCUGUCUAUAUUUCUGCUCCUGAAAAGCUGUGUCUCUGUACUGCGCCACAAUUUUCCUCCUCCAGCAUACGAAAUGAAAGCAUCUGAGUGCAGUGCAACCGUGCAGGAAAAAAAAAUGCAUGUUUGCUUUAUGAUUUUUUUUCUAUCGACCUGGCGUGCAGAUAUCUGAAGAAUCUUUGUGGCACAAGUAACAACAUAAAUGCAACUUUAAGGUAAUUACUGAAUUUAGUAAUACAUUCCAUCAAGUUACAGUACUGCACUUUUACCCUAACCUUUAGCAAAGCCUUCACCUUAAAAUUUGGUGAUAUAUGUUAUGGGGACUUAUUGACCUCACAAUGGAGGUAGCCCACAUAUUGUGACUGUGUGGCUUCAUGUCCCCAAAGCACAGUAUUAACACACACACACACACACACACACACACACACACACACACACACACACACACACACACACACACACACACACACACACACACACACACAGGUUUCAGAUACUCCAUACAAGGAUAGCAGCACUGAAGGCUCUGACAGUGACACAUUGUUGUGUCCACACAUACUAUUGCAUUUGUUCUGUAGAUGCAUUUACCAGAAGCGCUAGAGGGCGCUAGUGAGUAUGUUGUUCUGGUUGUGGUUUUGAAGAAGAAAAAAGAAAAAUAAAGAAAGGAG